UACGUAGGGGGCAAGCGUUAUCCGGAUUUACUGGGUGUAAAGGGAGCGUAGACGGCAGUGCAAGUCUGGAGUGAAAGGCGGGGGCUCAACCCCCGGACUGCUCUGGAAACUGUACAGCUGGAGUGCAGGAGAGGUAAGUGGAAUUCCUAGUGUAGCGGUGAAAUGCGUAGAUAUUAGGAGGAACACCAGUGGCGAAGGCGGCCGCCUGGACUGAAACUGACGCUCAGGCACGAAAGCGUGGGGAGCAAAUAGG
rnacentral:rRNA from 1 species